UACGAAGGGGGCUAGCGUUGCUCGGAAUCACUGGGCGUAAAGCGCACGUAGGCGGACUCUUAAGUCGGGGGUGAAAUCCUGGAGCUCAACUCCAGAACUGCCUUCGAUACUGAGAGUCUUCGAGUUCGGGAGAGGUGAGUGGAACUGCGAGUGUAGAGGUGAAAUUCGUAGAUAUUGGCUGGAACACCGGUGGCGAAAGCGGCUCUCUGGCCCGGUUCUGACGCUGAGGCGCGAAAGCGUGGGGAGCAAACAGG
rnacentral:rRNA from 1 species